rnacentral:rRNA from 1 species
GACGAACGCUGGCGGCGUGCUUAACACAUGCAAGUCGAGCGGUAAGGCCCUUUCGGGGGUACGACGAGCGGCGAACGGGUGAGUAACACGUGGGUGACCUGCCCUCAGCUCUGGGAUAAGCCUGGGAAACCGGGUCUAAUACUGGAUAUGACUCCAUGACGCAUGUUGUGGGGUGGAAAGCCUUGUGCGGCUGAGGAUGGGCCCGCGGCCUAUCAGCUUGUGGUGGGGNGAUGGCCUACCAAGGCGACGACGGGUAGCCGGCCUGAGAGGGCGACCGGCCACACUGGGACUGAGACACGGCCCAGACUCCUACGGGAGGGCAGCAGUGGGGAAUCUUGCGCAAUGGGCGAAAGCCUGACGCAGCGACGCCGCGUGAGGGAUGACGGCCUGGUGUAAC